rnacentral:rRNA from 1 species
GACGAACGCUGGCGGCGCGCUUAACACAUGCAAGUCGAACGCAGUGGCGGACGGGUGAGUAACACGUGGGUAACUGCCCCCCUCUCUGGGAUAACAGUUGGAAACGGCUGCUAAUACCGGAUAGUGGGGGAUGACUCGCGUCCUAUCAGCUUGUUGGUGGGGUAGUGGCCUACCAAGGCGACGUCGGGUAGCCGGCCUGGGAGGGGGAGCGGCCACAUUGGGCUGAGGUACGGCCCAAAAGCCUACGGGGGGCAGCAGUGGAGAAUAUUGCACAAUGGGGGAAACCCUGAUGCAGCAACGCCGCGUGCGGGAUGACGGCCUUCGGGUUGUAAACCGCUUUCAGCCAUGACGCGGUAGUGGCAGAAGAAGCACCGGCUAACUACGUGCCAGCAGCCGCGGUAAUUC